rnacentral:rRNA from 1 species
GGUAAAUGGGGGCAAGCAGCGGGGGUAAUUGGUGGGGGUCAAGGGUGGACCGGAAUUAUUUGGCGUAAGUAGCGUGUAGGCGGCCCGAUGAGUCCGCUGUGAAAGGCCAGGGCUCAACCAGGGAAUGCCGGUGGAUACUGUCGGGCUAGAGGCCGGAAGGGGCGAGUGGAAUUCCUGGUGUAGCGGUGAAAUGCGCAGAUAUCAGGAGGAACACCAAUGGCGAAGGCAGCUCGCUGGGACGUGACUGACGCUGAGACGCGAAAGCGUGGGGAGCAAACAGGAUUAGAUACCCCGGUAGUC